rnacentral:rRNA from 1 species
UACGUAGGUGGCAAGCGUUGUCCGGAUUUACUGGGCGUAAAGAGCGCGCAGGCGGUUGUGCAAGUCGCGUGUGAAAGCCCCCGGCUCAACUGGGGAGGGUCACGCGAUACUGCUCGACUCGAAGGCAGGAGAGGGAAGUGGAAUUCCCGGUGUAGUGGUGAAAUGCGUAGAUAUCGGGAGGAACACCAGUGGCGAAGGCGACUUCCUGGCCUGUUCUUGACGCUGAGGCGCGAAAGCUAGGGUAGCAAACGGG